rnacentral:misc_RNA from 1 species
GGACUAUGUUCAGUAUGUGUAACACUUAGAAAUCAGAAUAGUGUAAUGACUAUUAUUUGUGUUUUCAAAAUGGUCCAUACUUAAGACUUUUCAUGCAUUUGAUACAAUUCAUAAUCUUUAUGCCCUACUUCAGUCCUGAUAUUCUAAAACAAGGUGUUGAUAGAUUGGUGCUAUAUCAAAAUGCUAUCCUGAGGUUUACUGGUUCAUGGGUAUGUGCUUUGAAAAUGCACCAAUCUGCA